CUACGGGGGGCAGCAGUGGGGAAUAUUGCACAAUGGAGGAAACUCUGAUGCAGCAACGCCGCGUGGAGGAUGACACUUUUCGGAGCGUUUCCUCCUUUUAUAUAGGAAGAAGAUGACGGUACUAUAUGAAUAAGCGCCGGCUAACUCCGUGCCAGCAGCCGCGGUAAUAGGGAGGGCGCAAGCGUUACUCGGAAUCACUGGGCGUAAAGAGCGUGUAGGCGGAUUAAAAAGUCAGAAGUGAAAUCCUAUAGCUUAACUAUAGAACUGCUUCUGAAACUCUUAAUCUAGAAUAUGGGAGAGGUAGAUGGAAUUUCUGGUGUAGGGGUAAAAUCCGUAGAGAUCAGAAGGAAUACCGAUUGCGAAGGCGAUCUACUAGAACAUUAUUGACGCUGAGACGCGAAAGCGUGGGGAGCAAACAGGAUUAGAUACCCGUGUAGUC
rnacentral:rRNA from 1 species